UACGUAGGGUGCGAGCGUUAAUCGGAAUUACUGGGCGUAAAGCGUGCGCAGGCGGUUUUGUAAGGCAGGCGUGAAAUCCCCGAGCUCAACUUGGGAAUGGCGCUUGUGACUGCAAGGCUAGAGUAUGUCAGAGGGGGGUAGAAUUCCACGUGUAGCAGUGAAAUGCGUAGAGAUGUGGAGGAAUACCGAUGGCGAAGGCAGCCCCCUGGGACGUCACUGACGCUCAUGCACGAAAGCGUGGGGAGCAAACAGG
rnacentral:rRNA from 1 species